rnacentral:lncRNA from 1 species
CUCCUCACCUCCCCUGCCUGUACCCAUCCCUCAGCCUCCCCUAACCCAUUCCUUCCUCCCCUCUCCUCUAUUCCUCCCUCCAUCCUGAUAGCGUUGCUGUCUACCGUGCACCAAAGAGAUGGAGCUACCCCAAAUUCCCAAUACAGAGGGAUAUCAUAGGGGAUGGACAGUAAGCCAGAUAAGGCUUAGGAAAGGGAGCCAGAUAAGAAAUAUUACCUCCGUUAUAGAUCUUUACCACUGCGUCCACAACACGUUAUGCAUUUUGCAUGGUCAGGGCUUUCCUCUUCUUGACAGAUUCCUCUGGCCAGUUUGAUCAACCUCAGGCAAGUCCUCCCCCCAACCCCAUUGGGGGGGCGGAGGGGGGCUAGCUAACACCUUCCAGCAUCACAUCUUAGCACCCCUUCCCUCCCAGUUACAUUCCUACUAACUGUAUGGACUAAAUAAAGGUGUCAGUGUGCUUCAGUUUGGCAGUUCAGCAGGUCACACCGAACAAGUGUGCUCGCAUAAUCAAAUCAAAUCAAAUGUAUUUAUAUAGCCCUUCUUACAUCAGCUGAUAUCUCAAAGUGCUGUACAGAAACCCAGCCUGAAACCCCAAACAGCAAGCAAUGCAGGUGUAGAAGCUUCUACUCCAUUAGAAGACCUUCACUUGAUAAACGAGAAAGAAGCAGCAAUAGUACUGUUUGUCCGUUUAGGGACGCUGUAGCCAGAAUACACUUCCUGAAAAUAGUCAGAUAACUCAAGAAAUCUGUCAUUAAUUUUGAUGUUUUUGCAGAGGAGAUCUUAGCUGCUCAAUUUUAUAUCUAACUAAGAUGUUAGGUGCAGUAUUUCUCCAGCGAAAAAAUUUGAAUGAAAACUAUUUGUCUCUCGUUGAAUGACAACAAACAAUCCUUACUGUUGUCCAAUCACCGAUGAAGAGGCACAGACUUCGGGAACCGAUUUCUGCUUGUCUCGAGAAAAAGUUUAGUGUGCCCAAACAACGGAAAACACCCUUGCCGAAGACCAAAACAAACAAAAACGUCCUAAAAUGUUGUCAUGAUAUAUGCAGGAACUAUUCGGCUGGGAAGCAUGCAGACACCUUAAUAGGUUCCAGUCCUCCUUCUCUGAGAGUUGAUCUCUGAGAGUUGAUCUCUGAGAGUUUAUCUCUGAGAGGAGGCAAUGAUAGCUUCUAAUGGGGAAGGAGGGAGGGAUGGAGGUGAAUGGAGGAAAGUAGAGUGUGGGAGAGAGCUGUGGAAGUGGAGAAGGGAGGAAAGAAAAGGAAGGGAAGGAGGAGGUUGUGGACAGGGUGACUGUCCGUUAGAAGGACUGAUGGAUGGAGGGACUGAGGGAUGGACGGACUGAGGGACGGACGGACUGAGGGAUGGAGGGACUGAGCGAUGGAGGGACUGAGGGACGGACGGACUGAGGGACGGACGGACUGAGGGACUGAGUCUGGGGGGUGGUUGUCUUAUGUACUGAUAUCCAAAACCGGAUGUGAAAAGUAACACGCUGUGUCAAGCAUGUGUGUGUGUGUGUGUGUGUGUGCUUGUAUGUGCCUGCACGUGUGUGCUUGUAUUCACCUAUGAACACACACACUCAUCCGAUUUGUUGAAGUUACUUUGCUAUAUUUUUAUAUGUACAUACAGACUGUUAUUGUAUACAUGUAUGUAUUUUAUUCCCCUUUUUAUUAUGAUUGAUGUUGCUAUGAUUGUUUUCUAUUAUAGUGAACAUUUACCUUGAGUCCCAGACCUGGUCAAUACUUCUAACAAUUCUUCUAGAGGUUUUGCACUGUGGAGGAGAAGCUCAUUUACCAUGUGCCACACCUUUUAUGAUGUACCUCAACUUCACUAUUUGCUCCGUGAUUCAUUUCACAAAUACACACACACACACAAACACAAAUACACACACAAACAAAUACACACCCAUACACUUCACGGCCAAUGUGUAAGGCCUAGGUGAACGUCCUCUCCUCUACAGUCCUUCCCCUGUAGAGCUCUAUCUCCCAGGUGGCCAGGUGUUGAGGGGAAGGGCUCCGUGUGUAGGUAGGUACUGUACUAUACAUGCAUUUCUGCAGAAUAACAACCAACCAACCCUCUCGGGUGCUGUAUGCAGGCUACAAGUUAACCACUAAACUUCCCCAUGUCGUAUUAGUAAGUAUUGCUUUGGUACAAUUGGCAUCUUGUAUGUUGUAAAAUCAUUUAAGGAGAAUAUAUGGACAUAUAUAUAUAUAUAUACAUAUAUAUAUAUAUAGAAAUCUAUCUAAAUGAAUAUAUUAUAUAUAUUAAAUAUACAUUUCACACUUAUUUUUUUCCGUUGCUGGUAUUACCGAUGCGUCACAGAUAUUUAUUUAAUGGUUGCGAUGAGAGAAAAGUAUUUAUUUGACGGCGGAAGUUGCGAGGAUGAUAUUUUAGGCUUUUUGGUUUGGUUUCUCUUGGAGUGGUGUGACGGCUGCAGCCCUCAUGGCUAAAGAUAACCAAUAAAAGGUGUUUCCAAA